AGGAGGUUCGGCCCUCACCCCUCCUCUCUCUGGGAGAGGUAGGGGGUUUCCCCGCCCACGCCCUGAGAGACCAUCAACACCGUGCAGGCCAGUCUGUGCUUCACAGGGCUGGCUCCUGCCUUCCUCCUUUGUGAACUCAGGGAUUCAUGGAGCUGAGCCGUCAACACCUGGCUGAGAAGCAGAGCCUCUCCACCUUCCUCCCCCGCUGCUCACAAAUGGCCCUGAGGAGUGUCGGAGAUCAAAGGGGCCGGCGCCCUGGCCUUCUGCUGCUCAGCCCCAUAACUGCCCUCAGAGGAUGGGAAUUCACACCUGCUGGUGGUGCAGGGGGCCCGAGGUGUGGAGGACUGUGUUGGCUGCGGCAUCAUCUGCAAAGCCAAGAACUGAGACGCAGUUUCAGGACCAGACUCUGCACUGGGGCCCAGAAUGUCAGCUCCCACAGCCACUUAAGGAAACAGAAGUGUGUGCAACAAUUUUACUCUGAAGGUGACCUGCCCUCCCUCCUUUGUUGCUGCCCAUAGUUCCAGGGAGUUUCUGCCUCAACCCCUCUCUCAGUAUGAUGGAGUCUUGCACUGUCACCCAGGCUGGAGUGCAGUGGCGUGAUCUUGGCUCACCGCAACCUCCGCCUCCUGGGUUCAAGUGAUUCUCCUGCCUCAGCCUCCUGAGUAGCUGAGAUUACAGGCCUUGGAGAAGGAUUAACAGAUGUCACUGAAGUCACAUCCCUCCUUCCCUCACUGACAGUUCCCUCGGUCGCUGACACUCAGUGCUGGGUGUCUCCUCCCACUGCCAGGAGGUACAAGCUGCCUGCAGGCUUCCACCAGAGGCGGCUGCUGACAGACAGAUGCUCACACUGCCAAGGACAGAGAUGCUGCUCCUCUGCCAGCUGCCCCAUCUUGUCUCUCUGCCUGCCCAGGCUCUGGUGCUCACAGUUGAACUUGACAGGUUCUUUUCCAGGCUCCUCAUAAGACUUUUUCCAUCCAAUAUUCAGGCCCCUUUUCCUCCAGGAGCAACCACAGGACCCGGCCACGAGCUCAGCUCUGUUUCUGCACCUGGCAGAAUGCCUGACAUACAGCAGUUGCUUGGGAAACAAAGUUUAGCUGGUGAGUGAACAAAAAGGUGCUGCAAGGCAGUGACCCUCCUGGAUCUCUACACAGCUGCCUGAAACAAAACCCUGCAUGCACCCUGCAAGAGAAUUCUGAAAACCUGGAGCCUGCCACACACACAGAGAAAUAAAACUCCUCUGCUUAUGCCCCUAAGAGAAUUCUUAAAACUAGGAAGCACCCCCAUUUUGAAAUAAAAUUCUGCUUCACUCCCUAAGAGAAUUCUUAUAACUGGGAACCUAGGAACUCCCUCCUAGGUGGGAUCCUAGUAUAGCAUGUGGCUGAAUUCUACACUAUAAAUGUGCUGAAUGUGGCCGAAUUCUACACUGUAAAUGUGCUGAGUGUGACUGAAUUCUACACUGUAAAUGUGCUGAGUGUGGCCGAAUUCUACACUGUAAAUGUGCUGAGUGUGGCCAAAUUCUACACUGUAAACGUGCUGUGUGUGGCCGAAUUCUACACUGUAAAUGUGCUGAGUGUGGCUGAAUUCUACACUGUAAAUGUGCUGAGUGUGGCUGAAUUCUACACUGUAAAUGUGCUGAGUGUGGCUGAAUUCUAUACUGUAAAUGUGCUGAAUGUGGCUGAAUUCUACACUGUAAAUGUGCUGAGUGUGACUGAAUUCUACACUGUAAAUGUGCUGAGUGUGGCUGAAUUCUACACUGUAAAUGUGCUGAGUGUGGCUGAAUUCUAUACUGUAAAUGUGCUGAAUGUGGCUGAAUUCUACACUGUAAAUGUGCUGAGUGUGACUGAAUUCUACACUGUAAAUGUGCUGAAUGUGGCUGAUUUCUACAGUGUAAAUGUGCUGAAUGUGGCUGGAUUCCACACUGUAAAUGUGCUGAAUGUGUCUGAAUUUUAUCCUUUGAAAUGGUUAAUGUUAUGUUUCUUGAAUUUCACCUCAAUAAAAAAUUCAUUAAAAAAAAUACGUUGUGACCGU